rnacentral:piRNA from 1 species
UCUGCGAUGUUGAUGGCCCUCAUGGCUGC